GACAGAGGGGGCAAGCGUUGCUCGGAAUUACUGGGCGUAAAGGGCGCGUAGGCGGGAUGGCAAGUCGGUCGUGAAAUCCCUCGGCUCAACCGAGGAACGUCGAUCGAUACUGCUGUUCUUGAGGAUUGCAGAGGAGACUGGAAUUUACGGUGUAGCGGUGAAAUGCGUAGAUAUCGUAAGGAAGACCAGUGGCGAAGGCGGGUCUCUGGACAGUUCCUGACGCUGAGGCACGAAGGCCAGGGGAGCAAACGGG
rnacentral:rRNA from 1 species